rnacentral:misc_RNA from 1 species
CGUAAUGAAACAGAACUCGGGGAGAGUUAUAUCAGAGAAGAAAUAGGUUUUUUAGGGUCCUGUAAAUCCUUGAUCCGGUUAACCACUAAGUAACGGCCUUCCCAGUUUCUUUGUAGUUUCGGACAUCGUCCUUUCUGUCUUCGAGGUUGAAAGAGUCAGACAGAAUCUCCGGGAUUAAAUUUUAUAUCCCUGGCUCGAAUAUCAUACCGAGUUUUUAAUUUGUCUGAAGCCAUAGAUAUUCUAUUUAUAGCAAAGCUAUGAAUUUCUUCUGCUAUGGGGAAAAUAAUAACUAUAGAAAAAUAAGUCGCCAAAUGCAAUUGGGGAUGCAUGGCAUCGGGGGUCUUGUAUAUGUGAGUGGAUUCGUUUACGAAAACAAUCUAAGCAGACCUGCAUAGGAAAUAGUCUAAGAGCCAGCUUAAAUCUGACAACACAUUCUUUACGGUAUCUGAAAUUUCGUCCAGUGAGACUUCUAUACCCAGUAAACAAGCAAUGGGUACUAGCUAAGCCCGGCCGCGGUAGGUUUGGGGUGCCUCAGGUGAGUCAGCAUUUGGAAAAAUGCUCAUGCGAAUGAGCCCACAUCACUGAAUCCCCUUGAAUACGGCUGGAUGGAGAUGGAAAACCGUUACGUAUUUAAGUGGUUCGAAGGAGACCAACUUCCUUGCUUUGUCAGCGACUUGAUUCUAAAUCCUGAAGAAUCUGACUUGGAGGAUGAAGAUGACUUGUCACUUUCUGAAGACGAUUCCGAAGAUGAAAAUUAAUUAUAAAAUAUUUCAUGAUUAUUUCAUUGUUAUAAAUUAUUUCCAAAAAUAAAUAUAUUCUGAUAUGAAUAAUGAA